rnacentral:rRNA from 1 species
GAUGAACGCUGGCGGCGUGCCUAAUACAUGCAAGUCGAGCGAACAGACGAGGAGCUUGCUCCUCUGACGUUAGCGGCGGACGGGUGAGUAACACGUGGAUAACCUACCUAUAAGACUGGGAUAACUUCGGGAAACCGGAGCUAAUACCGGAUAAUAUAUUGAACCGCAUGGUUCAAUAGUGAAAGACGGUUUUGCUGUCACUUAUAGAUGGAUCCGCGCCGCAUUAGCUAGUUGGUAAGGUAACGGCUUACCAAGGCGACGAUGCGUAGCCGACCUGAGAGGGUGAUCGGCCACACUGGAACUGAGACACGGUCCAGACUCCUACGGGAGGCAGCAGUAGGGAAUCUUCCGCAAUGGGCGAAAGCCUGACGGAGCAACGCCGCGUGAGUGAUGGAGGUCUUCGGAUCGUAAAACUCUGUUAUUAGGGAAGAACAAAUGUGUAAGUAACUAUGCACGUCUUGACGGUACCUAAUCAGAAAGCCACGGCUAACUACGUG